rnacentral:tRNA from 1 species
AGCCUUUGACGAGAAUUGAACUCGUGACCUUCCUCUUACCAAGGGGAUGCUCUACCACUGAGCCACAAAGGC